rnacentral:rRNA from 1 species
UACGGGGGGGGCAAGCGUUGUUCGGAAUUACUGGGCGUAAAGGGCUCGUAGGCGGUCUGUCGCGUCGGCUGUGAAAUCCCGAGGCUCAACCUCGGGUCUGCAGUCGAUACGGGCAAACUAGAGUAUUGCAGGGGAGACUGGAAUUCCUGGUGUAGCGGUGAAAUGCGCAGAUAUCAGGAGGAACACCGGUGGCGAAGGCGGGUCUCUGGGCAAUAACUGACGCUGAGGAGCGAAAGCGUGGGGAGCGAACAGG